rnacentral:misc_RNA from 1 species
UUUUAGCCCGGAUAAAAACGGUUACCCCACAGCAAGUGAUGGACAAAGCGAAGGAGCGAGGAGUAAUAGUGGAUAGCCGGAUAAGCU